UACGUAGGGAGCGAGCGUUGUCCGGAAUAAUUGGGCGUAAAGGGCGCGUAGGCGGUCCGUUAAGUCUGGAGUGAAAUUCCCGUUUUCAAGGUGGGAACUGCUUUGGAUACUGGCGGGCUUGAGUGCAGGAGAGGUUAUCGGAAUUCCCGGUGUAGCGGUGAAAUGCGUAGAGAUCGGGAGGAACACCAGUGGCGAAGGCGGGUAACUGGACUGUAACUGACGCUGAGACGCGAAAGCGUGGGGAGCAAACAGA
rnacentral:rRNA from 1 species